rnacentral:rRNA from 1 species
UGGGGAAUUUUGGACAAUGGGCGAAAGCCUGAUCCAGCAAUGCCGCGUGUGUGAAGAAGGCCUUCGGGUUGUAAAGCACUUUUGUCCGGAAAGAAAUCCUUGGCUCUAAUACAGUCGGGGGAUGACGGUACCGGAAGAAUAAGCACCGGCUAACUACGUGCCAGCAGCCGCGGUAAUACGUAGGGUGCAAGCGUUAAUCGGAAUUACUGGGCGUAAAGCGUGCGCAGGCGGUUUGCUAAGACCGAUGUGAAAUCCCCGGGCUCAACCUGGGAACUGCAUUGGUGACUGGCGGGCUAGAGUAUGGCAGAGGGGGGUAGAAUUCCACGUGUAGCAGUGAAAUGCGUAGAGAUGUGGAGGAAUACCGAUGGCGAAGGCAGCCCCUGGGCCAAUACUGACGCUCAUGCACGAAAGCGUGGGGAGCAAACAGGAUUAGAUACCCUGGUAGUCCACGCCCUAAACGAUGUCAACUAGUUGUU